UCCGUAGGGUGCGAGCGUUGUCCGGAAUUACUGGGCGUAAAGAGCUCGUAGGUGGUUUGUCGCGUUGUUCGUGAAAACCCACAGCUUAACUGUGGGCGUGCGGGCGAUACGGGCAGACUGGAGUACUGCAGGGGAGACUGGAAUUCCUGGUGUAGCGGUGAAAUGCGCAGAUAUCAGGAGGAACACCGGUGGCGAAGGCGGGUCUCUGGGCCGAUAUUGACGCUGAGGAGCGAAAGCGUGGGGAGCGAACAGG
rnacentral:rRNA from 1 species